UACGUAGGGGGCAAGCGUUGUCCGGAUUUAUUGGGCGUAAAGCGUGCGUAGGCGGUCCCGCAAGUCCGCUGUGAAAGCCCCGAGCUUAACUUGGGAACUGCAGUGGAAACUAUGGGACUUGAAUCCGGCAGAGGGGGGUGGAAUGCCACGUGUAGCAGUGAAAUGCGUAGAGAUGUGGCGGAACACCGAUGGCGAAGGCAGCCCCCUGGGCUGAGAUUGACGCUCAGGCACGAAAGCGUGGGGAGCAAACAGG
rnacentral:rRNA from 1 species